rnacentral:rRNA from 1 species
AUGGAAGAUUUUGUAUCAUGGCACUUCAAUAGAAGUGGAAUUUUCUCAGUAAGAUCGGCUUACCAUGAAGAGUGGGAGCACCAGCAUGGACGGAAGUUGAGGACGACAAACUCAUUACAAGCCUCAAGUACUAGUCCAGUCUAGCGUACCAUUUGGAAAUUGCGUGUGCCAUCAAAAAUCAAAAUCCAUGUUUGGAGGACUUUGCUUGGAGCUAUUCCUUGCCGUGGUGUUUUAGCGAACAGACAUAUGACUACAAGUUCCCAGUCUCCCCUUUGUAGUUCGGACUGUGAAAGCAUUAGGCAUGCUAUGUUUCUGUGCCCGAGGGUGCAGGAAAUUUGGCAUAUUCUUGGACUACAGGAGCUAGUGAAUGAAAUCUGCACAAUAGAGAGAGAUGGAGGUUCGGCGCUGGCCGAUCUCCUAUUAUCCAAAAGUACCAGAUGUCCACUAGUGGCCAAUGUCCAGCGCAAUGAUCUAGUGGCCACAACAAUCUGGUAUGUAUGGUGGGAACGACGCAAAUACACACACGGUGAGAACAUCUAUGAGUCAGCAAGGUCGGCCCAAGCUAUAUCAACUUUAGUGCAGAACUUUUCACGAGCAAGGUUGAAGCAAACUAAAAUUAAAAGACAUGGCUGGUCCAAGCCACCUGAGGGCAUCAUCAAACUUAAUGUCGAUGCAGCUUUUGACCGGGACACUGGUACAGGGGGUACGGGAGCAGUGCUGCGUGAUGAGGCCGGUUUCUUUGUCACUGCUUCCUGCAGUGAUAUACCCUUUGUGGAAGACGCAGUGACGGCAGAGGCUAGAGGACUACGAGAUGGCCUCCUACUAGCGAAUGAAGUUGGUUGCAACAAAAUCUAUAUCGAAGCGGACUGUCUGGAGGUAAUCGAGAUCAUGCUGAGUGGCAGGAAUUCAUUAGGACCAGCAGCGGCAAUAUAUGAAGAAUGCACUUUCUUAUCUAGCAAUUUUAUCUUUAUAGUUUUUAGCCAUUGCCCUCGGGAAGCCAAUAUGGCGGCGGAUCUGCUAGCUAAGAACUCGGAGGUGUCUCGAACAAUUGUUUGGAAAUCGGAGCCCCCGGGUUUCUUAGUGGAUGUUUUAACAAACGAUGUAUCUUUAUUCUCACAUGAAAUAUAA